UCUGUUUCCCCGCCGCGCCGUGCAGCACCGGCGGCGCGCCACGGAGCUCCGAUCCCGCCGUGCCCACCGCCCAGCGCUUCUCACCAACCCGCGACCCCGCCGCUCUAGGGCUACUCAUUUUGCGCCGUCCCCGACGCGCCAGCGCCACGGCCUCCACUGUGCCUGUGGGGGGCAUGCCGCGGUGAUGGCAACCGCCGGAGGCGGCGAGCCUGCUCCACCCGACCUGGUGGCGCGAGCGCGCGCUGAGCUCCGCUAGAGACAGCGCAGGAGCGAGGCCGGCCUCUCGCCGAAGGACAGGACAGACGGCGUUAACGGGCGGCCGAAAUCGCUCGCGGCCAUGUCGUCCCGUGCGCGGCUCUCCACAGUCGUCACCGCCGCCGCCGCCUCAUCCUCCAGAGCUCCGAAACCGCGCGCUCCCGACCUUGCCCUGGCCGCCACGACGGAGCGCGUGCGGUCCGGGGCGUUCGGCCCAGAGGACGCACGCCACCUGCUCGACGAAUUGCGGCGGCGAGGCACCCCCAUUCCCGAGCGCGCGCUGAACGGAUUCCUCGCCGCGCUCGCGCGCGCGCCGCCCUCCACCGCCUGCAGGGACGGGCCUGUGCUCGCCGUCACUUUCUUCAACGCCAUGUCACGAGCUGCCGGCCCAAAGGUGCUGUCGCUCUCGUUCCACACCUACAGCAUCCUCAUGGACUGCUGCACCCGUGCGUGCCACCCGGGUCUAGCGCUGGCCUACUUCGGCCGGCUCCUCAGGACAGGGUUGGGCGUCAGUGUCAUCACCUUCAGCAACCUCCUCAGGAGCCUCUGUGAAGCAAAGCGGACUGAAGACGCUUUGGACGUGCUGCUCCACAGGAUGCCCGAGUUUGGCUGUGUGCCUAAUGUUUUCUCCUACAACAUACUUAUGAAGAGCUUCUGCGACAGCAGAGAGAGUCGGAGGGCUCUUGAAUUGCUCCGGAGGAUGGCUGAGAAGGGAGCUGGCUGCUCACCCAACGUGGUCUCAUACAGCACAGUCAUCGAUGGCUUCUUUAAGGAGGGUGAAGUUGAUAAAGGAUGCGAUCUAUUAAAUGAAAUGAUGCAGCAGGGGAUUUCACCUAAUCUAGUGACUUAUAACUCCAGUAUUGAUGCACUGUGUAAGGCAAGGGCAAUGGACAAGGCAGAGGUGGUCCUCCGACAAAUGAUUCGUAAAGGUGUUCAUCCAGAUAACUGGUCAUAUACUAACUUGAUGUUUGCAUAUUCUGCAAGUGGUGAGUGGAACGAGGUGGUCAGGAUAUUCAAAGAAAUGACUAGUCGGGGUCUCCUACCAGAAAUUGCUACGUGGAACUCGUUAAUGGCUUCCCUUUGCAAACAUGGAAAAAUCAAGGAAGCUAGAGAUGUUUUUGACUCGAUUGCAACAAAGGGCCAGGAGCCUAAUACUGUCUCAUACCUAAUUAUGCUUGAUGGGUACGCUACUGAAGGUUGCUUUGUUGAUAUGACAGACCUCUUCAAUUUGAUGCUAGGAGAUGGUGUUGCACCUGACGUCCGUAUUUUCAAUGUACUGAUCAAGGGAUAUGCUAAAUGUGGAAUGCUGGAUCGGGCUAUGAUUAUCUUCAGUGAAAUGAGGCAGCAAGGAGCAAAACCUAAUGUGGUAACCUAUUUGACAGUAAUAGCUGCACAUUGCAGGAUGGCUAAAAUGGACGAUGCUAUGGAAAUAUUUAAUGAAAUGAUUGAUCAAGGAGUAGCACCCAGUAUAGCUACUUACCAGUGCCUGAUUCAGGGUUUUUGUACUCAUGGUGGUUUGCUGAAAGCUAAGGAAUUGGUUUUUGAAAUGAUGAGUAAAGGCAUGCGUCCUGACAUUGUGUUCUUAACUUCAAUAAUAAACAGCCUUUGCAAAGAGGGAAGGGUAGUGGACGCACAGGAUAUAUUUGACAUACUUGUAAGUAUCGGUCUGCAUCCUGAUGUUUUUGCAUAUAGUUCGCUGAUGGAUGGAUACUGCCUAGUUGGCAAGAUGGAGAAAGCAUUGAGAGUAUUUGAUGCUAUGGUGUCAGCUGGCAUUGAACCUAAUGUUGCAGUGUAUGGCACACUUGUUAAUGGCUAUUGUAAAAUUGGAAGGAUUGAUGAUGGGUUGAGUGUUUUCAGAGAAAUGGUGCAUAAGGGAAUUAAGCCCUCAACUAUUGCGUACAACAUUGUACUGGAUGGGUUAUUCCGGGCUGGGAGAACAGUUUCUGCAAAGGAAAGAUUCCAUGAAAUGAUCGAGAGUGGGAUCUCAGUGGACACUGGCACAUACAACACCGUUCUUCAUGGACUUUGCAAAAACAAUUCCUUUGAUGAAGCAAUUGGGCUUUUCAAGAAAUUACAAGCGAUGAACGUAAAGAUUGAUAUUAUAACUAUUAAUAUUAUGAUUGCUGUAAUGUUCAAAACUAGGAGAACUGAAGGAGCUAAGGAUCUGUUUGCUUCUAUCCCUGCAAGUGGGCUGGUGCCUUGUGUCAAGACUUACCAUUUAAUGAUGACGAAUUUUAUUAAAGAAGGGUUACUGGAAGAGGCAGAUGAUGUCUUUUCAUCCAUGGAGAAUGCUGGCUAUGAUCCGGACUCUAGAAUGCUGAAUCAUGUGGCCAGGUUGUUGCUAGAGAAACACGAAAUAGUCAGGGCGGGAACUUACCUGUCCAAAAUUGAUGAGAGGAACUUCUCUCUUGAAGAUUCAACAACAAUGUUGUUGGUCGAUCUCUUCACAAGCAGAGGGACAUGUCAGGAACAGAUAAAAUAUCUCCCAGAAAAGUAUCAUUUUCUUGCAGGAGCUGGUUCUAGUUGAUUGUUAAAUCAUAUUCAUUCAGCAGAUCCAGCAAUGUUGAUCAGACUCCCCAAUGCUAUACAAGGAAGAUGGAAGAAGCAAUGGUGCUGUGCCGGCAAGGUGGCUGCAGUCAGUUCGUGGGGCUUGCUCUUGGCAAGUUCAACUCGCUGCUCAUCACCUCUACCGACCUCUUCUCCGAGCUCACCCACAAAGAAUAUGCUAGAAAAUGGUACCAUGUUCACACAAUAAAUAUUUGUGAUUUGAUUAUGGGGGCGGAAUCCAGAAUUUUGAAGAAAAGGCUGAAUUUGUGGUUUACUUCAGGUAUCAUGUUAGCAUGUAUAUGUGCUUGUGUACCUGAUAGGAUCAGGCGUAUAUGCCUGGGGAUAUUGCCGGCCAUCCAGCCGUGCAUAUCUCUGAUUGAUUGGGAGGUUAGGCAAGGAUAUCCUCGGUUGGUUCUGCUUCUAUAAAUCUUCCCUAGGAUCUCCUCGCCUAUUUAUAUCUGUACUCUUCCUUCUCCUAAAUCAAUCUACUGUUGCAAUCCUUGUUGCUUUCAUAUCAAAAGCACAAUUGUGAAGAUAAGACGGAAUUUGAUGUUGCCUUUCA